UUUCCCGCCGUCACUUCAAGUUAGAUGCAGCAGCAGAGUGAGAGGGAAAAAACGUUUGUGUGUGAUGUGUGCGUCAAUGCUGAAAAAGUCGACUGAGAUGGGUUCAGUGAGGAAGAGGAACGCACCCAGAACCUGCAGGAUCAAGAUGAAUUUCACACAGUUUCUUGCAGGAGAUGGAGCCAUUUCACCACUAGGUGGCGGUCUACCAAAGCUGCACCAGUGCUUUCUGAUUCUUUGUUGUUUGGGAGUCUGUGAAGCAUGCGGUCGUGCUGAGUAGGACACAGGAGCUGAAUGGUGCCCUACUGUAUGUGUUCCCCAGGUCACUGGGUGCAUAGUCACUGUAAUGAGGCCACCAGGACCACGUGUUCCCCAAAGCCCGGCCUCAACGCUCACUGAUACAGUAAGCCCAACGGACGCAGGGGCUGUUGAUGCUGCCUGAGCUGUGAGGCAGGUGGCGAUGUUUGAGUUGAUUCAGCUCAUUUUUACACCUAUUGUUGUGUAUUAGUGUUUAACACUGAUUGUCAGAUUAAUUCACAGGAAUUUUGCAAAUAAUGUUUGACUGUUCAUGUUUGAGUUCAUUAACAUUUACUGUUGUCAAAAAGGCAGUUGAUAGAAACUGCAAUCCACAAGCACCUGAUUAACCCAUUUCACUCCAUCGGUCACAAUUGUGACCGAAAAAAAAAUAUGUACUUAUAAGCCUCUAAAAUUGUAACUACUACUGGACUCUGUCAGAGGCCUCAAGUAGUACGUGUUGGCAACAAUAUCUCAAGCAGCAUCACACUG